rfam:Hordeum vulgare subsp. vulgare, WGS project CAJW01000000 data, contig: morex_contig_67800
AAAAUACUCCCUCCGUCUCAAAAUUCUUGUCUUAAAUUUGUGUAGAAAUGAAUGUAUUUAAAUACUAAAACGUGACUAGAUACAUUUAUAUCUAAACAAAUUUAAGACACGUAUUUUGGACGGAGGAGUCAUAAU